UCAGCUAGCUCACGGGUGGGAGUUUCCCAUAUGUCGACUGCAGCGGCCGGAAUUCACUAGUGAUUCUGGUCAUUAGAGGAAGUAAAAGUCGUACAAGGUUCCGUAGGUGAACCUGCGGAAGGAUCAUUAUAAAUCGUAUCAAGCCAUCCUGUGUAUAUGUUGCUGGCUCACCCCAUAUCAUGUCAAGUAUGAGAUGCGGUGCGGCGAGCCACGGCCCAACAACAACAACGAUUGAAACAAACCAAGAACACAUUACUUGAUACCAACUUUUAACAAUGGAUCUCUUGGCUCUUGCAACGAUGAAGAACGCAGCCAAAUGCGAAACGUAUUGUGACAUGCAAUCUUUGUGAAUCAACGAAUUUUUGAACGCACCUUGCACCUGCUGGCGCACGCUAGCAGGUAUACUUGUUUGAGUAUCAUACCAAAUCUGCAUCCGUCCAGUACGUAUGUGGCAUGUGAGCCCCUUACCAGUUUACUGGCUAGCCGCUUGAAAUGCACAUGGGGCUGUGGUGCCUCGUAUGGGAUAACAUCCAGCAUGCGCGACACCUCGGCACCGGCACCCAGUGAGCAUGCCUCUACAACUCGUAUUGGCAUGGGCACGCACUACCGAUCUCAAAUCAAGUAGGAACACCCGCUGAACUUAAGCAUAUCAAUAAGCGGAGGAA
rnacentral:rRNA from 1 species